rnacentral:tRNA from 1 species
GCCGGAGUAGCUCAGUCGGUAGAGCAACUGAUUCGUAAUCAGUAGGUCGCAGGUUCGAUUCCUGUCUCCGGCACCA